rnacentral:rRNA from 1 species
UAGGGAAUCUUCGGCAAUGGGGGGAACCCUGACCGAGCAACGCCGCGUGAGUGAAGAAGGUUGUCGGAUCGUAAAGCUCUGUUGUUAAGGAAGAACGAGUGUGAGAAUGGAAAGUUCAUGCUGUGACGGUACUUAACCAGAAAGGGACGGCUAACUACGUGCCAGCAGCCGCGGUAAUACGUAGGUCCCGAGCGUUGUCCGGAUUUAUUGGGCGUAAAGCGAGCGCAGGCGGUUAGAAAAGUCUGAAGUGAAAGGCAGUGGCUCAACCAUUGUAGGCUUUGGAAACUGUUUAACUUGAGUGCAGAAGGGGAGAGUGGAAUUCCUUGUGUAGCGGUAAAAUGCGUAGAUAUAUGGAGGAACACCGGUGGCGAAAGCGGCUCUCUGGUCUGUAACUGACGCUGAGGCUCGAAAGCGUGGGGAGCGAACAGG